rnacentral:lncRNA from 1 species
UCAAUGUGAAAACCAUUUAGUCGAAUAUCUUUAAAACUAAGCAAAUUUCUUCUUAAUUUACUAGAAUAUAGAGCAUUUUUGAUAAUAACUUGUGUCUCAUUUGGUAGCAUGAAACUAACUUUUCUAAAUCCCUCGAUUAAAUUUAAUGUGCCAGAGAUAGUUCCUACAUUUCCCUUAGCUUUGAUCAGUUGUGAAAAAUAUUUCUCACUUUGAAGGAUUGUAUGAGUUGUUGCACUGUCUGCUAAACAUAUAUCUUCCAUAUCCAUUAAAAAUGGUCUGACACAUAUAAAAAUAAGAAAAGUUACAUUUCAUUUAUAAUUUUAUUCAUGAGAAACACAUACCACAUAUAGAAUGAAAACUAAUAAUAUUAUACAUACAGGGUGUUUAAUUAAAACAAAAAUUAAACGAUAUCCCAAAAGAUACUUUCAGAAUGUUCAGUAAUAUCAACAACCUUUUCCUCAUUGUUGGUCAUUGGUGGAUCAUCAACAAUAUUCAAUUGAUGAUUAACAAAGUUUGUUUCUGCCUCCAUUACUUUGUUCUUUUGAGACUCCUGAAAUAAAUUAAUCAAAUGCCUUGGCGUACGACAGGUACGGGACCAAUGCCCUUUCAUCCCACACCUAAAAUAAACAUCUAGUUUGUUCUUUAUCGGUGCUGCAUUUUCUUUAUUUUUACCCGACCCAAACACUUGCCACUUCUGGUGGCCUAAAUUAUCGCGGUUCUGGAAUUUGUUGUUAUGAUGGCCUCAUUUAUUCUUUCGUCCCCAAAACUUCUUAUUAUAUGACCAUCUAUUUUCACGUUUAUUCAGCUGGAAUGACGUGUUGUUAAUAUCUGGCAAUGGGGUAGCACCCGUUGGGCGUACUUGAUGAUUUUUCAACAAUAAUUCAUUAUUCUUUUCUGCAACAAGGAGGAUAGACAAUAAGUCACUGAAUUUUGUGAACUUACUCUGUGUAUAUUGUUGCGACAGAAUCAUGUUCGUGGGAUGAAAAGUUGAGAGCAUUUUCUCUAACAUUUGGGUUUCAGAAACUGAAUCUCCACAUAAAGCCAAAGUAGAAGUUAUUUUAUAAACAUUGGAACUAUAUUCCGUAAUUGAUUUGUAAUCUUGUAGCCUUAAAUUAAGUCACUCAAAUUUGACAUUAGGGAGAACAACCAAUUUUUUGGUGGUCAAAUCUUUUCUUCAGUUGUGUCCAUAAAGACAAAAAAUCUUUGACUGUUAAAUACUCAGUCUUUAAUCCUUCAUCAAUAUAGUGACCAAAAAAAAUUAUGACUUUUGCAUUUUGUACCGAAGUUGCUGUAUUUCCUGAUUCAAUGGUCUUUUCUAACUCAUUUGCACUAAGGUGCAAUUCUACAUCAAGUGUCCAAGCCAAAUAAUUAUCUCCAGAGAUUUUUAAAAUAAAAAAAUUUAUUUUUGCCAAAUUUGCCAUCUGUUCUGGGUUAAAACACAAUUU